rnacentral:misc_RNA from 1 species
GCCCCAUUUUAUCAAAUCACCGUUUCAGCUCCGACGCCAAAGAAAAAAAAUAAAAUAAAAUAAAGACACAAUAGUCAUGCCAAAGAAAAAAAAACAAAUAAUAAUAAUAAUAACAAUAAUUUUCACCAAAUUAAGAAAGAAACCACGAGAAAAGAGCCCAAACCAUAUCGUCUACUCUUGGCAGCAUAUCAAAAAGACAA